GUUUGAAUAUGCAAAUGAAUUUGAAUGGUGAAAUAACAUUAAUAGAGAUUAAAUCACAUUCACUAGAUAGGGUUAAAAAGAAUGAAUUAACCCACCAACCUGAGGGGACAAAUAACCUUGUUUCCUUUCCUGCAUAUAACAAUACCUAUCUAUCAAAUGCCAUUAUACACAUCACAGGAACAUCUGCAGCUUCAAAACACUAAAAGGUAAACAGACUAAUUACAAGCAGUAUCCCCCCAAAAAAUAAAAAGAGAAAAAAAAAGGGGGGGGUCAGUGACAUAGGCUAGAGUUAAAGCUUCUGCUCAAUUUGAGAGACCUUUCAUAAUACUAACAUUGAGAGAUCUUCAGAAACUGAAUUCAUGUCAGGCCUCUCAGAUGCUGGUAGGAUACAUCUUAGUCCCACUUGCAGCAUUUCACCAAGAAUCCUGGGUCCCUCCACAUCUGGCCCAUCUACAAGCAGUUUAUCAAAGCACUCGCUGUAUCGGUUUUCUUCAGCUAAUAACCUCACCCAGUCUGUCAGAUCAACUACUCCUGGGUCAACGGAAACAAUCUCCCCAGAACUUUUUCCAGUUAUGAGCUCCAACAAGAUAACCCCAAAUGCAUAGACAUCACUCUUUAAUGAUGGGCAGGGUUUACUUGAGCUAGCAAAUUCAGGAGGCCUAUAGCCAAGAGCACCAGCAUUCAAAACUUGUUCUGCUGUGCCAGCUGAUGUCAAUAUUCGGUGGAGACUGUAAUCUGUGAGCAGUGGAUUCAUGUUUGGAGGCUCUAAUAAAAUGUUUGUGGAUUUGAGGUUGCCAUGGGGUAUUGCUCUCUCAUUGUGUAAGUAGUUCAGACAUCGAGCAACAUUAACAGCAAUCCUGAGUCGAUCAUUAAGAGAUAAAGAUGGGAGUUUUCUUGGCUCUUUAUCUUGCAGAUAGAAGGCCAAACAUUGGGCAUUAACAUAGUUAGAUAAUAUCAUCUUCUCAUGGUCCUUUGGGCCCCAGUAGUAACCCUGAACAGAAACUAAAUUUGGAUGUCUGAUGUUCCCGAGUUUCUUUACUUCCCUUGCAAAUUCCUUCCGCCCUUUUGCUAUUCCCUCUUUUAACCAUUUUACGGCCAGUACAACACCAGAGUCAAGUGUGGCUUUAUAUAGAGUACCAUGGCAACUCCUCCCAAUAACUUCUGCUGGAGCAUGUGAAAGUUCUUCUGCUGUGAACACUAGGGAGCCAUCAAACAGAUGUAAAUCUCCUGCCAAUUUUUCUGGAGAAUAUACUUGGACACCUGGAUGCUCUGAGGAAAGUUGGCUUUUAGAAGGUGAAGGAUUUGAAGAUGACAAAUGAGACAAGGAAGGAUAUAAUCCUUCAUUUUUUCUUAUUGAUUCAGGAUGAUCAGUAGACUUCUGUAGAGCUGAUGAUGUGUCCCCAGGAUGAUAUGCAGAGCCUAACUGUGAUGAUGGAUGAAGACUUUGAUGAAAACUAAAUGAUGAUAAUGACCUGUCCAAACUUUUGUUAAUUGCUGAGGAAUGAGAAACGGAAGAACGCUCUUGUGGGACACCUUCCUGUCCUUCAUCCCCUUUUAAACUUCUCCUACCAUGAUUCUGCCAAUGGGUCCUGUAGUAAAUGGCCAUGCACAAAAUAGCGAUUACAGUUGCAGUACCAACCAUAGCAGUUAUCAAGAAAACUUUCAUAGAAGGUUUCAUGUGAGAUCUAUGCUUCCUUAAAGUCAGCUCUGUAGGACCUUCUGGUGACAAUGGCGAUUUAAGAAAAAUCAAGAAGGGAUUUCCAGGAUGGAAAGCUGAAUCAGGAAACUGCCUCAAGUUAUCAGGUACCACACCAGAGAGAUUGUUAUAAGACACAUUAAAUCCUUUCAACCCAUCUGGAAGGUCCCCUGGAAUGGUGCCUUUGAGUUUGUUGUUGGAUAGGUUAAGAAAAACCAAGUUAUGGAACUGACCGACUUCAGGGGGCAAAAAGCCAUCUAAGGAAUUAUAUGAUAAAUCAAGAGACAUCAAGCUCAAAUUUUGGGAGGAGCCUUGUAUUUCCUGAACAGGGAUUGAGCCAGUGAAAUUGUUGGCUGACAGGUUGAGAUCAGUCAAUGUUGUUGAGUUGAAGAGGUUUGGAAGGAGGAACCCACUGAGAAAAUUAAGGCUAAGAUCAAUCACUUUUAGUUGUGAGUACGUACCCAAAACUGUUGGAAGUUCACCAUUUAAUGAGUUUUUUGAUAUCUUGAGUGAAGUCAACCUCAAGAAUUGAGAAGUUUGGUUUGGCAAACUCCCUGUCAAUGAAUUAUUACUCAACUGAAUAUGUUCCGCAUAAUUUCCCCAGUUCUGAAUUCUUGAUAUAUCUCCUGAGAGCAUAUUAUUACUUAGAUCUAUAAUGGCACAGUGUCCUACAGUGGCAGGUAAGAAGCCUGUCAAUUUAUUUGAAGACAAAUUUAGCUUCUUGAGAGUUGCAGAGGUGAUACUUCUAACUGGACCUGUCAGUUGAUUAAGGCUAAGAUCCAGUUCAGUCAAUAGCAUUGAUUUGUCUUCCAAAAGAGCCUCUGGUAGAGACCCUGACAUCUGGUUACUUCUGAGCCUAAGAAUCUGAAGAGAGACAACAAAUUGAAAUGGAGGUAUAUUACCAUCUAACUGAUUAUUACUAGCAUCAAAGACCUCUAAACUGUCAAAAUAUGGCACUCCAUCAUGAGCAAAGAGCUGUCCAACCAAGGCAUUAUGGCUUAUAUUCAAAUAUUGAAUUGAUGAAACAAAACUGGCAUUCCCAAGUCCCAAAUCCAAUGAGCCAGAUAACUGAUUGCUGCUUAGGUCAACAUGAACCACACUGCCCAACUGGGAAAGAAGUUUCAUUAUAUCUCCAGAAAAGCUAUUAGCCCUUAAAUCUAAAUAUUUCAACCUCUCAAGACUGCCAAAACCAGAGGGAAUCAUGCCUUGAAAAUUGUUUGAAGAAAGAUUCAAAAGCACUAAAUUCCUUAAAUUGACUAUGCCAGAGGGUAGAAACCCAUGAAACAAAUUGCACGAAAUAUCCAAGUACUCAAGGGACUCGAUGGAACCAACAUUUGAGAUAGUUCCCAUCAAAUGGUUAUUGGAAAUUGACAGGUUUCGAAGCAUUUUAAGGCCAGUAAGGACUGGGAAACUAAAGUUCCCAACAAGGCCCGCGUCAUUUAGAGUAAUGGAAUCUACAUUGCCAUCAAUGCAGACAACUCCAUACCAGUUCUGGGGGCAUCCAUCAGAGGCCAAGGAAUUAGAAUCCCAUGAAACAAGAACUUUCCCAGAUGGGUCUUUCUCAAUGCCUUUCUUGAGCUCCAAGAGUGCUUCAAAAUCUGAUUGUCCAAAAGCAUUUACUAGCAGCAACAAUAACACCAAAUAGAUUAUAGGCAUUGCUUCAGUACUUGUCCCAAGUCACAAACUUCAAAGAGAGGGGCAAAGGGAGUAGAAAUUGGAUAAAAUGAACCAAUUUGAAUGAGAAAUGAAGAGAAAUUAAACCACUUUCUCAAAAGCAACUAUUAUAAAUGGAAAGAAAUCAACAAUGUAAUCGUAAUCUAUGCUAAUUUACAUGAAAAUACAAAUGCAUUGGUCAAAAAAUCAGGAUAAUUGGAAGACUACAUCGAACCAAAGACCACAAUAAAAGAAACAUAUAAAAAUUAAGCUUCACAGCUCAAGACUUGACAAAAUUAUGAACCCAUUUUCUCAGAAAUGGAAAAAAUAAAUUCACCAAAACUUUUUGCACCACAAAACGAAGAAAGAGCAGAAACCCAAUUGCGGAUAUGAAGAACAAAAGCGAAUAACCAAAUCAACAAAAAAUAAAGCAGUAAAACAUGACAAAAAUCUACAUCUUUUUAUCAGUUAAAAGCAGCUCAACAAGGAUGGGAAUUUCUGUAAGCAAUGUGCACAAUAACAAGUAAAAGAAACAACAAUGCUUAAACAGAGAAACAAAUGUUCACAGAAAUACAAUAAAGUUGUUGAAAUAAAACGAGGAGAAGCUAAAGAACCUGACCAGAGAUUCGCAACUAAGAAAAGACAAUGUGGAGAUAUAAAUGGAGGUCAGGUGGGUAGUGGGUACUGAAAAAAAUAAAGAACAGUGAAUUGACGAAUAAGAGACCCAACAAACGUGCCAAAAAUAGAAAACACAUCAAGCGACCGAGACUCAGAGACUGAGAGUGAGAGUACAGCAAAAACCAGAGAGAGAGAGAGAUGGAGAGGGUUAGAAAUGGGAGGGAGACAAAAAUGGGAGAGAAAGAGAGAGAGGCGACGCGACGCGGGAAGAAAAAG
rnacentral:misc_RNA from 1 species